rnacentral:rRNA from 1 species
CCUACGGGAGGCAGCAGUGAGGAAUAUUGGUCAAUGGGCGCAAGCCUGACCCAGCAACGCCGCGUGAAGGAAGAAGGCUUUCGGGUUGUAAACUUCUUUUAAGAGGGACGAGCAGAAGACGGUACCUCUUGAAUAAGCCACGGCUAACUACGUGCCAGCAGCCGCGGUAAUACGUAGGUGGCAAGCGUUUUUCGGAUUUACUGGGUGUAAAGGGCGUGCAGGCGGGAAGACAAGUCAGAUGUGAAAUCCCGGGGCUCAACCGCGGAACUGCAUUUGAAACUGUUUUUCUUGAGUACCGGAGAGGUAAUCGGAAUUCCGUGUGUAGCGGUGAAAUGCGUAGAUAUAAGGAAGAACACCAGUGGCGAAGGCGGAUGACUGGACGGCAACUGACGGUGAGGCGCGAAAGCGUGGGGAGCAAACAGGAUUAGAUACCCUUGUAGUC